UGCUUGCUCGGCGGCGGCAAUUGGUUGGAGCUGAUGGCGAAUUGAUUACUUGCAUUGUAGCUGUGACGUGCGUACGCUGCAGCUGCAGCAUUGCGAGUUCUUGCCAUCAACGAAGCUUGCUUGUUCUUGUUUCAGAACAUUCAGUCUAAUUUCACUUCUUUGCAUGUGUAACAUUCAGUCCAGCUUGCUUGCUUGUUUUGUUAGAUGCUCUGGAAUGCUUUUGUUUACUUUUGAUCUAUAUAAUAGUGCUCUUGCAGUUACUGUUACAUUGAAAUGGGUUCACAAGUCUAUCCUGCAAUAUACGGAUAUCUGCAGAAUGCUCUGCACAUGGCAUGUUUGUCAGGACAUGCAUUUAGUUACAGUUUCAAUUAACUUGCAUUUGUCCAGCAGUUGUAUUUUGCAUUUGGCUGGUAACAUCUAAUUAUUUCUUGUCUCCAAAAAUGGCACGAGCUGACCGAAGGUCGAAGGCAUUGUUCAUUGCAUAUCUGUUAUAUGAUGAAUUGCCUAUGUCAGUGUUCUUGUUUCUAGUGAACUUUUUUUUAGCACUAUACUCUAAUUGUAAAAAAUCAUGGUAGAUGCUGAAAAUAACACUGCAUCUCAUGCGUAGACAACUGAAGAAGCCUAUAUUAGGAAUGGAGUAGGCCCUUGGAUUAGAUAGUCACACUUUUGCAAAUCCCCCCUCCCACGCCCCCUGCGGCCUUCCUUUUGAUGUUGAUCUGAUGGUCCAGAUUAAAGUUUGUAUAGUUUUCACGAAUAGAUUGGUUCGCACCUGAUAUGUUCCCUUGUAAAAUAGCAUGAGACUAGCGUGCUAGCAUUGUAUGGGUUUGAUGUACCUUGAAAGAUUCUUUGGUAUAUGCUGCAGCUUGAGCUAGAUAGAUAGUGGAGCUUAAAAAUUUAUUGUGGUUCUCUAAUCUAAAAAUGCUCCUUUGUGUCAACUCACUCUUUUUUACCUAUAGAUCCCUCCCACACCGGUAGUGGCUGUCAAUGCUGUUAAUUGGUCGAGAGGUUCCAAGUUUCUUUCCCCAUCUCCUCUGCUACAGUAGGGAGCGGCGGAAACAGGUGACCUCAGCCCAGAGUUCGAUGUGAUCGCUUCCCCCUCCUCUCCGGCGGCCUCGUCGGCGCCGGAGAGGGCGGGGAAGCCGGAUCUUCCGCGUGCUGUACAUAUUUAGGCCUAGUUUAGCUAGUCUAGGUGCUAAAUAAGUUUCCCUAUGGAGGAGUUCAACCAUGGGGUUAGUUUCUUCCCUACCGACGGCGGUGCCUGCUGUUUAGUCGGGAAGGUGAAGUUUUUGGUCCUCCGAUGUGACGCCGGCGGAUGUUUGUUCAUCGAUUCCGGUGUUCAACUUAUGAGGUUUGGUUUCCUGCCUUAUUGCGAUGGGGUGGGUCUCCUUUUCCUUCUGCUGGCUGUUGUUGCUAGCAGCUUAAUGGAGUGGAUUCUUGGGUUGCUGGAUCUGGUUCUGCUGCUGUUGGAGAUGUGUGCUGAAGCAUCUUGCCUUCGAUGGAUCUCAUCCAUCGCUGAGGAAAGGGGAGAUGAUGCUGGAUCGAGUAGACCGGCGACUGAUGCUCAUGUCCCGAGAAUCUCUUGCAGUUAUCCAACGUUUGGAGUCCGUCUUUCGAUUUGGAUCGGGAAGAUUGGUGGUUUGAUGCUUGAGCAUGCUUUCUGGCGAACAGUGGGAAGGAGUCGGCAGCUCAAUCUCAGGAAGAAGAAAAAUAGUCCAGAACACUCAUAUUUUCAUGGAGUUGAAGGGCUUUGCCGGUUUACCUACUGCAAGUAACUUCUACAAGUUUGGAUUAACAAGACUCUCUCCUAUACGCUACUAUAUGUUACCAGAUGUGUAUGUCAUGUGAUCUAUGAAAUGUUGACGUGAGUUGAGUAUUGUACUAUUUAUUCCCUGUAUAUGCAACAUCGCUGUUUCUGCAGUUUGGAUUAAUGAAUGGUCAUGCUUUGGGUCCAUGGGGAAGUCGUAUUUUCCUCAUGAAUACUUGCUAGUUAGUGAUAAGAAGAAAACCAGAUAGGAAUUGAUCUCAAAAGCUACGAAUGUAUGUUAAAUUAUUUAAAUGGUGCAUUGUGGAACAAUUUGUAUGUACCGGAUGUGGAAAGUUUGUUUGACAAGUUGCUGCUGGUAAA